CGCGGCCUAUCAGCUUGUUGGUAAGGUAAUGGCUUACCAAGGCGACGACGGGUAGCUGGUCUGAGAGGAUGAUCAGCCACACUGGCACUGGAACACGGGCCAGACUCCUACGGGAGGCAGCAGUGGGGAAUCUUGGACAAUGGGCGAAAGCCUGAUCCAGCGACGCCGCGUGAGUGAUGAAGGCCCUCGGGUUGUAAAGCUCUGUUGAGAGGGAAGAAAAAUGCUCGUUCAAAUAGGGCGAGUACUUGACGGUACCUCUUUAGAAAGCACCGGCUAACUCUGUGCCAGCAGCCGCGGUAAGACAGAGGGUGCAAACGUUGCUCGGAAUUACUGGGCGUAAAGCGCGUGUAGGCGGAUAGGCAAGUCAGGUGUGAAAGCCCUGGGCUCAACCCGGGAACUGCAUUUGAAACUGCCUGUCUAGAGUGGUGGAGAGGGAAGCGGAAUUCCUGGUGUAGGGGUGAAAUUCGUAGAUAUCAGGAGGAACACCGGUGGCGAAGGCGGCUUCCUGGACACUUACUGACGCUGAGACGCGAAAGCGUGGGGAGCAAACAGGAUUAGAUACCCUGGUAGUCCACGCCGUAAACGAUGGGUACUAGAUGUCGCGGGUAUUGACCCCUGCGGUGUCGUAGCUAACGCGUUAAGUACCCCGCCUGGGGAGUACGG
rnacentral:rRNA from 1 species